AUUGAACGCUGGCGGCAUGCUUUACACAUGCGAGUCGAACGGUAACAGGCCGCAAGGUGCUGACGAGCGGCGCACGGGUGAGUAAUGCAUCGGAACGUGCCCAGUCGUGGGGGAUAACUACUCGAAAGAGUAGCUAAUACCGCAUACGAUCUAUGGAUGAAAGCGGGGGACCGUAAGGCCUCGCGCGAUUGGAGCGGCCGAUGUCAGAUUAGGUAGUUGGUGGGGUAAAGGCUCACCAAGCCAACGAUCUGUAGCUGGUCUGAGAGGACGACCAGCCACACUGGGACUGAGACACGGCCCAGACUCCUACGGGAGGCAGCAGUGGGGAAUUUUGGACAAUGGGCGCAAGCCUGAUCCAGCAAUGCCGCGUGCAGGAAGAAGGCCUUCGGGUUGUAAACUGCUUUUGUACGGAACGAAACGGCUCUGGUUAAUACCCGGGGCUAAUGACGGUACCGUAAGAAUAAGCACCGGCUAACUACGUG
rnacentral:rRNA from 1 species